rnacentral:rRNA from 1 species
GAUGAACGCUGGCGGCGUGCCUAAUACAUGCAAGUCGAGCGAACAGAUGAGGAGCUUGCUCCUCUGACGUUAGCGGCGGACGGGUGAGUAACACGUGGAUAACCUACCUAUAAGACUGGGAUAACUUCGGGAAACCGGAGCUAAUACCGGAUAAUAUAUUGAACCGCAUGGUUCAAUAGUGAAAGACGGUUUUGCUGUCACUUAUAGAUGGAUCCGCGCCGCAUUAGCUAGUUGGUAAGGUAACGGCUUACCAAGGCAACGAUGCGUAGCCGACCUGAGAGGGUGACCGGCCACACUGGAACUGAGACACGGUCCAGACUCCUACGGGAGGCAGCAGUAGGGAAUCUUCCGCAAUGGGCGAAAGCCUGACGGAGCAACGCCGCGUGAGUGAUGAAGGUCUUCGGAUCGUAAAACUCUGUUAUUAGGGAAGAACAAAUGUGUAAGUAACUAUGCACGUCUUGACGGUACCUAAUCAGAAAGCCACGGCUAACUAC